AUUGAACGCUGGCGGCAUGCUUUACACAUGCAAGUCGAACGGUAACAGGCCGCAAGGUGCUGACGAGUGGCGAACGGGUGAGUAAUGCAUCGGAACGUGCCCAGUCGUGGGGGAUAACGCAGCGAAAGCUGCGCUAAUACCGCAUACGAUCUAUGGAUGAAAGCGGGGGACCGUAAGGCCUCGCGCGAUUGGAGCGGCCGAUGUCAGAUUAGGUAGUGGGUGGGGUAAAGGCUAACCAAGCCAACGAUCUGUAGCUGGUCUGAGAGGGCGACCAGCCACACUGGGAAUAGGACACGGCCCAGACUCCUACGGGAGGCAGCAGUGGGGAAUUUUGGACAAUGGGCCCAAGCCUGAUCCAGCAAUGCCGCGUGCAGGAAGAAGGCCUUCGGGUUGUAAACUGCUUUUGUACGGAACGAAACGGUCCUGGUUAAUACCUGGGGCUAAUGACGGUACCGUAAGAAUAAGCACCGGCUAACUACGUGCCAGCAGCCGCGGUAAUAC
rnacentral:rRNA from 1 species